GGGAAAGCAGUACUGCAUACUUCAGCAGUGGAGCUCCGUGACCAGUCGCCCGGCACUUCAAGAGAGAAAAGCCACCCUGGACUCGCUGUCAGUCAAGAGCAGAAGUAAAGCAAUGGAAGAGGAAGUACAAUAAGAGAAUCAGAACAAACACCCUGCUACACACACAUUGUGUGCAGCAGGAACAAAGUGCAAGGGAGCUCAGCGUGCUUGAAGAGACAGGAUGUAAAGCUCUCCUUCUGAAUGGGUAUCAGGUCCUAUCGAAGUCUAUUGUCUCCUGGAGCCCAGACCUCACAAUGUCCCAUUGUGACAAAUGCAAAGACAAGGUGGUUAAAUCCCAGUUUUCCAGAUCUCUGCCUUCAUUUUCAGUCUCCAGGACUCUACCCCUGAGGAUGGUUCUGCUCUCACUGCCUGGGCUGCCUCCCUGCUGGCUGUAUGAGAGCAGUAACACAGGAAGUUGCCCAGCUGGGGAUGAAGACACAAGAGCCUACUGCAGAACCACAGCUUCUCAGACCUUUAGAAGAAGCCAUGUGAAGAUAUAAAGAGAAGAGAAGACAGUCAUCCACAAGCGAGGAAGAAAGUCUCACCAGAAAUCAACCCUUUGGGCACCUUGAUCUCAGACUUUUAGCCUCCAGAACUGUGAGAAAAUACAUGUCUGUUCUUUAAGCCACCCAGUCUAUGGUACUUUGUUAUGGCAGCCCUAGCAGACUAAUACAACCAGCUUGGGGCCUUGAAGACUUUAUCUUCAAAACUCCUCAUGUAACACUCAGAAAAACACCACGCCCUAAAUCCACAUCCCACAACUUCUUAUCACUUCCUUAUCACUUACCUGCAUCUCCAGCAGGAUCAGGACUAGGGUGAGAUGGGUGAGGCACUUUUCCAGGGCACAAAAAACACAGUAAUCUCCCAGGUACACCCCAAAACUCAGCAAUUAAGAUAAAUAACACUUCAAUGAAAUAUUUUUUAAAAUCAAAAUUAAUGCAAAAAAUCCAUGAGCUUUGGCUACUUUGCAGUUUUGCCCACAACUAGCCAUGGUUGAGAGCUUUUUCUCCAUGACUUUAUCAUGUAAGUGGAAUUCCUGUGAAUGAACCCCAAACUCCAUACUUGGGAUAAAGGAACUAUCCUUUUUCCCCAUGACAGAUUAUUAUAAGCUGUUAAUAAGAAACAACAAGUUUAGGCUAAGUGCUGGCUGUGUUACAGAUUUUGUCCUGAGUGCAGAGUGUUCAAUAAUGAACACAGGAGAUGAAGUCAGCCACAUGGAGAUGGCAGUCUGCAGAGGGACAGAAACAAGUAAAGGACAGUAACAGUCGACAGUGCUCAGGCUCCAAGUGAGCACAUGCAAAGGAGAGUGGACCAUGGAAGCAGGCAGAAGACAUCUAAGCCUGACUGAGGGCUUCAGGAAAAGGUGUCAUGGGGAAAGUGUCAUCUCCAUUUAUCAAAUGCCAGAGGCAGGGAAAUAUGGCUCCAAGCAGAGGAGAAAUGUGUGUAAAUCCUCAGAGAGGCUGCUGUUUACUGAGUACUUACCAUUAGUUGACAAACCACAAGCAUCAUGGCAUUGAAAGCUUGUGACAUCCUCUAAGAUAGGUGUACUACUUUCUUGCACAUCCCCAUCUAACCCAUCACCAAAUUCUGUUGGUUCCACCUUCAAAAUAAAGAAUCCAACCACCUCUUGACAAAUUCAUUUCCACCCCCAAGUCUGAGACUCCUAAUUGGUCUGCUGGCUUCCUCCUUCGCCUUCUUCAGUCAUUUCUCAAUUCCAAUGCCAGAGCCAUCUUUCUGAACCAUAAAUGUGAUUAUGCUACUUCUCUGGCCCAAACCUUCCAAUUGCUUCUCAUUCUCACUCACAGUAAAGUCCAAGAAGUCAAGUAACCUGCCCUGCAAAACCCUCUUCCUGUUAGCUCUCUCACCUCAUCUCUUUAUAACAACUCUAUAAUUGACUGACUUUGUUUACUGUUUGUAUUCUCCACCAACUGCCCAAACAACCACCAAAAAAACCUGUUGAUGAAGUCAAGUUAAGUUUAUUAGAUUUACUGCAGUAAGGAAGGAGACCAUCUUGACAGAAUCUUACUAAUAUUUAAAAAUGAGAAGUUCGAGCAGGCAAUUUGUAGGGGUUUAGGGCUUGGGCUAGGUGAUGUUAAGAAUGAUCUCGCAAGGUGGGGAAUGGAUCAGAAUCGGACAAUUUAUGACAUAUUAGCUUGGGAUUGGUAGGAAAAUUGAGGUCAGGGUCUUGUAGGGCUUGUUAAAUAAACUAUUAGUCUUGAUUGACAAGCCUUAUUUCUUACUAUUGUGUAACACGUGACCGAGAAUUCUUUCUGCUUCAGUUCUCACCCCACUAGAAAGUGAGCUCCAGGGGGGAAUGGGUUUAUUUUCCUGUUUUGUUAACUUGUAUCCCAUCACAGAGACGAAUGCAUGUAAGUUCAGAGUAGGCAUCAAUAAAUGUUUGUUGUAUGAAGGAAUGAAUGUUGUUAUUCUGAUUUUUAAAAUAAGGAAACUGAAACGCAAAUAACUUCCCUUGGUUACAUAACUAGAUAGCAAGACAACUGAGAUUUGAACACAGGGCUAUUUGAUUCUAAAGCCAAACCCUUUCUCCUGUGCCACCCUGCUAAUGAUAAUUAAUGUUAAUUGAGGCUCUGUGUUAAGUGCUUUUAAUAUAGUUUAUAAUUUAACUCAAUAACUCCACAAUGCAGGUACCAUCACUAUUCCUCUUUUAAGGAUGAGGAAACUGAGGCUUACAGAAAUUAAGUCACCCAAGUUCAAAAAGUUCACAAAUGUAGACAUGUUUCUCAAAGUUAGGUUACUGUGACUCAAAAUACUAUGCAAUAGCCAAAAGGUGAAAACAAUCCAAAUGCUCAUCAGUGGACGAGUGGAUAAGCAAAAUGUGGUAUACACAUACAAUGCAAUAUUAUUCAGCCUUAAAAAGGAAGGAAAUUCUGACACAUGCUACAACAUGAAUGAACCUUGAGGACAUUAUGCUAAGGAAAUAAGCCAGUCACAACAGGACAAAUACAUAUGAUUCCACUUAUAUGAGGUACCUAAGAGUAGUCAAAUUCCUAGAGACAUAGAAUAGAGUUGUGGUUGCCAAGGGCUUGGAGAAGAGGGGGACGAGGAACUAUUGUUUAAUGGAUAAAAAUUUCAGUUUUGCAAAACUAUGCUAAAAAACUGUAUGCCAAAAAAUUGAAUAACCUAAAUGAAAUAGACAAAU
rnacentral:lncRNA from 1 species